GCCGAAGUGGUGGAAAGGCAGACACGCCAGAUUUAGACUCUGGUGUCGAAAGACGUGCAGGUUCAAGUCCUGCCUUCGGUAUCA
rnacentral:tRNA from 2 species